rnacentral:lncRNA from 1 species
CUGUGCUCCAACAAAGCCCUGGGUUGUCUUGUCUGUGGGACUUUCAGUUUAUUCCAUACUCAGUUUCUGCCUCAAUUUCUUUACUUGCAAGAUGAGCAGGAUAAUAGUAUACAUCUCAUAGGAUUGUUCUGAGAAUUAAAUGAGUUGUGGUGUGCUGCUGGUAUCAUAAACAGAAUUUUAUGAUGGUCCUCAAGAGUCCCAGCCUUGGGUCUCAACCCCACAAUCCCCUCCCCUUGGGGGUGGUUGGCUGCCAUGGAUAUGAUGGAAUGUCACUCUUAUAAUUCAGCAGUUAUACAGCAAAGGUGAAAGAAUUUUUUCAGAUGUAAUUCAGGCCUCCAAUUGGUUGACUCUGAGUUAAUCAAAAGGAAAUUAGUGUGGCUGGGCCUGACCUAAUCAGGGGACCCCACAAGUUUAGUGGUCAGAGACUUGAAGCACCAGAAAUUCUCUUGGUAAUCUUAAAGAAGCAAGCAUCAUGAUUCUAUAGUUGAAAGGGAUGAAGCCUGCCCACAGUCCUGUGAGCUAGAGAGAGGGCCCCAAGCCUCUGAAAAGUCCCCAGCCUCAGUGAAUACCUGGAUUCCAGCUUUCUGAGACCCUAAGUACAGAACCUAGUCAAGCUGGCCAAGACUUCAAAUCCACAGAAGCUGCAAGGUAAUAAAGAGCUGCCUCCAGAACCAGACGGGGGGUCCAGCUGACAUCCAGCUACUCCCAACCCAGCUGAACUUGGAAGUGAAUGCCUCUUCCAGAUGAGAACACACCCUAGCCAACACUCGCCUGCAGGUGCCCCUGAGCAGACUCCUAACCUACAGAAGAUAAUACAUGUGUGCUAUUUUAAGCUAAGACCUUCUGCUUGCGAGGCAGGCGUGGCGCCACUGAGCUAAAUCCUCAGCCCCAUGCUAUUUCCAUUUUAUGUAGGAGAAAGUUGAAGUUCUGAAAGGACACAAAAGGAGAUCAACAUUAAAUUAGGAAAUAUCCAGAAAGAUCCAACUACUUGCUAAAAUAGCCAACAGAGGGAAAAGGAGGACGGGCCAGCAGGAUUCCUGGAGGUCCCACCUUGAAGCUGAAGCAGAGCAAAGGUGAAAACAAGAAUCUUCGGAUUCCCUGGUCAGACACUGAAGGGCGCAUGUGCAUGCACCUCAGCACCAACUGGCAAAGGACCACGGAGGGGGACACUAAACACCUGAAGACUUUGAAAUGGCACAGUGGGUGCAAGAGGAACAUCGUGCCACAAAAUGCCAUCAGAUUGUCCCAGGCAGUGUAUGUGUGUGGUGCAUCACAAAUAAGGGUGCUCAGAGGAGGAGGCUCCUGGGGGUGGGACUUCAAGGAAGGCUUCCUGGGAGAGGUGGAAGGGUCUAGAUGUUGAAGGACAUGGCCCUCUGGAGCAGCUAAGAAA